UACGGAGGGUGCAAGCGUUAUCCGGAUUCACUGGGUUUAAAGCGUGUGUAGGCGGGCCCGUAAGUGUGUUGUGAAAUCCCACGGCUCAACCGUGGAACUGCUGGGCAUACUGCGGGUCUUGGGCCAACUAGGGGCAGCCGGAACAAGCGGUGGAGCGGUGAAAUGCGUAGAUAUCGCUUGGAACGCCGAAGGUGAAAACAGGCUGCUGGGGUUGCGCCGACGCUGAGACACGAAAGCCAGGGGAGCAAACGGG
rnacentral:rRNA from 1 species